GGUGUUCUGUGAGGAAUGCUGGAGGUAUCAGAAGUGCGAAUGCUGACAUGAGUAGCGAUAAAGGGAGUGAAAAGCUCCCUCGCCGAAAACCCAAGGUUUCCUGCGCAACGUUCAUCGGCGCAGGGUGAGUCGGCCCCUAAGGUGAGGCAGAGAUGCGUAGCUGAUGGGAAACAGGUUAAUAUUCCUGUACCUCUAUACAAUGCGAUGUGGGGACGGAGAAGGUUAGGUCAGCCGGGUGUUGGAUGUCCCGGUUCAAGCGUGUAGUCAGAUUCCUUAGGCAAAUCCGGGGAGUUAAUGACGAGGCGUGAUAACGAGCGUACUUGUACGUGAAGUGAUUGAUACCAUGCUUCCAAGAAAAGCCACUAAGCUUCAGUUGUAUAAGACCGUACCGCAAACCGACACAGGUGGGUAGGAUGAGAAUUCUAAGGCGCUUGAGAGAACCCGGGAGAAGGAACUCGGCAAAUUAGCACCGUAACUUCGGGAGAAGGUGCGCCCUGGUAGUGUGUAGCGAUUUACUCGUGAAGCACGAUAGGGUUGCAGUGAAAAGGUGGCUGCGACUGUUUAUUAAAAACACAGCACUCUGCAAACACGAAAGUGGACGUAUAGGGUGUGACGCCUGCCCGGUGCUGGAAGGUUAAUUGAUGGGGUCAGCCGCAAGGCGAAGCUCUUGAUCGAAGCCCCGGUAAACGGCGGCCGUAACUAUAACGGUCCUAAGGUAGCGAAAUUCCUUGUCGGGUAAGUUCCGACCUGCACGAAUGGCAUAAUGAUGGCGGCGCUGUCUCCAGCAGAGACUCAGUGAAAUCGAAAUCGCAGUGAAGAUGCUGUGUACCCGCGGCUAGACGGAAAGACCCCGUGAACCUUUACUACAGCUUUACAUUGAACUUUGACCUUACCUGUGUAGGAUAGGUGGGAGGCUUUGAAGCGGUGCCGCUAGGUGUCGUGGAGCCAACGUUGAAAUACCACCCUGGUGUGUUUGAGGUUCUAACCUAGGUCCAUUAUCUGGAUCGGGGACAGUGCAUGGUAGGCAGUUUGACUGGGGCGGUCUCCUCCCAAAGUGUAACGGAGGAGUUCGAAGGUACGCUAGGCACGGUCGGAAAUCGUGCUGAUAGUGCAUAGGCAUAAGCGUGCUUGACUGCGAGACUGACAAGUCGAGCAGGUACGAAAGUAGGACUAAGUGAUCCGGUGGUUCUGUAUGGAAGGGCCAUCGCUCAACGGAUAAAAGGUACUCUGGGGAUAACAGGCUGAUACCGCCCAAGAGUUCAUAUCGACGGCGGUGUUUGGCACCUCGAUGUCGGCUCAUC
rnacentral:rRNA from 1 species